UUCUUUUAUUAUUCUUGCAGGCUAUCUUUGCCUGCCUUUGUAAACCUGCUAAUUGCUUGACCUUUUCAAGUUUUUAAAAUAGAGUCAUUUAGAAUAGAUUGCAGGAAAGGAGAAAACUAAAGAAUUUAAACUUUAAAUAAUUCCCUCAUAAUGACUUACUUAGAUGAAAACACUUCCAUUACAUAAUUUUCAAUGCACACGUUGCAGAGUUCUUUUUUUCAAAAUUGGUAAAAAUUAUUACUCUUUCCCUUGGGACAUAAAAUGCUUGCUAUUACCCUCUCUGUUAGGAAUUCAGGGCACAAUAGACACUGAACAAAAUACCUUGGGAAGCCAUGACACCUGCCUAUAGGCUUAACCCAGAGCAUUGUGAAUACAUUCCUCAAAGUACAUCUCCUAUCCUAAGUUCAUUUGAUGGGGUAGAAAAUGCAACUGAAACAGAUCAUCAUAACAAGUCACUACCAUUAUACUGUGUCUACUUGGUUCUGACAUUAAAUUUUUAUAUUUAACAUAUAUAAGAUUGGGAUGCUUCAUAAAAUUGAUGUAUACAUCCACUCUGGUAGUUUUCUUUUUCUUCUUUUCUGUGGUAAAGCUAUUUUUAAACUGUUUCCUUUAUUAUCCAUGGAGCUUUAAAAUUGAAGAAAUAGGUCAUCUUAAAAAUUCAAAGAAGCCAGAAGAAAUCACAUGAGUAAAAACAAAUAGUCAUCUUAGAAAUUUCCAGUCCUGCACAGGCGAGUCUAGCGAAUGGUGUCACAACCACAAUACUUUAGCUCUGAUACAUGGAGGAAUUGAUUGUGUGAAAAAAUUAUUUCUCUUAAUUCAGUCAAUAUUUAUUAGAUGCCAGCCAUAUGCCAACCAUUAUGGGAGGCAUCAGUCUUUUAAAGAUGAAUAAGAUAAAGUCUGCACAUUUUGAAAUAAAACUUAAGGUUUUUGUUUUUAAAAAAUUGCCUCAUUUUUCUAACCAUAAAAUUGCUAUACAAUAAGUGAAAGACACUUUAAAAAUCUGAAAGAACAUAGCCAAAUCAAUUUAAUGGGCCAUAAUAAAAUGUAAACCAACUAUAUGGUGCUCUUUAACCUGGAAUGAGAGUCAUGAGUUUAACAGUAAUGAAUUUAUGACUCAUUAAGACUAAAAGAGGUUGCAAUUUUAAAAGGAACAUGAUAUUUAAGUGACAGUUUAAAAGGCAUUAAAUUACUGUGUUCAGCCUUGUAUUUCACAAAUCUUUAAAGGGCAACAAAAAAUAUUUGUAACAAUGUGGCUUACUCCAUUUUUCCUAUUUGUCACAACUUUUAAUUGCCACCAUGCUAGUGAUUUCAACUGUAUUGAUUAAAGAUUAUUUUCAUAAGACUUCAAAAGGACUUUAAAAGAGGGUGUUCUGACAGACUCUAUUCUACGUAUUUAAUAUCUGUUCAUUACUGUCCUUUCUUUUUCCUUUUUAGGGUGUUUGCUUUAAUAUAAGAUCUUGUUAGUAACCAUGAGUUAUAGGAAAUGAAGGCUCUAACAGUGAAAACUGAUACAUUUUGACAGCCAGUUUCAUUUAUUCAAAGUGUAGAUUGAGACUAUGAAAAAGUGAUCAUCUUCUUUCCAUCUUGAAUCUGGGAUAGUGAGAGAACCCAGGAAUAAAAUGAGGGGUGGGGAUUUCUGAUCAAUGGUAAAAAGCAUGAGGAUCCAUCUACAAGAGGCAGAAGGCCAAGGGAAGAGUUGGCAUGUGUUAAGGUCUUCUUGAGUGGUUGAACCCCUGGGGGAGUGCCUGUCUUCUUCAUGCCCUUUCAUACAUCUGUUUUGGGCUGGACCAAGGUCAAGUCUGCAGAGUGACAUAUUAUCUUUGAAUUUACUGUGUUGUACACUAGGAGACUAGUGACUGCUACUCCAAGUUCUAUGGUUUCCAAACUAGUCCCUUAGUCUUGGGUUUGUUGUGGGUGCAAGAAAGUGCUGUCAUUAGGAGAGGCUGUUGUCUUAGCCAGGGUGGUGCUUUCUGUCAACAUAUACACAUGAAAAAUCAAGUCUACCUCAGAGACAGGCAUAGCGUGUGGACCUAAGGGUGCAUUUGCCCUUUUGGAUGUCAGCAGGAGGCAGGUGAUGAGGAAGUGUUGGACUGGUUUCUCUUUAACUGCGUUAUAGGGAAGGUUCAAGUGUCAUAUUUUGAAGUGACAUCAUGAAGACAGGGGUAAGAGCUAGGGUGAUGAUAUUAAAGGAGGUAAGAAGAAGGUGGCACAGAGAUGUGCCAGUCUUUUUCUCAAACACAAGUUUUUUGUUUGUUUUGUUUUUUUCCUUUGGCCACCCCCUGUGGCAUAUGGAUGUUCCUGGGCCACGGAUCAAAUCUGAGCUGAAGUUGCAACCUACACCACAGCUGCAUCAAUGCCAGAUCCUUAACCCACUGUGCCAUAGUGGGAACUCCAACACAAGUAAUUUUUUGAGGCUGGAGGAUCAGAAUUCAAUGAGACCUUCCAUUUCAAACACCUUGCAAAACCCAAAUGUUUUGAUAAAUAUCAGGUUAAAUUUUCUUCUACUUUUUCUGCCCUUUUUGAAUUUUCAGUGUUUCCUGUCCAUACUAAAUGCAGAUUUUCAAUCUGGCAGUAAUUUUAUGUCUGUAUCUGUAUCACAAGCUACAUAUAUAUGACUCUCUAUAUAUAUGACUUAAAAGUUUUUCUUUAAGGUAAACAAAGAAGACUUUUCUUUAGGGAAUGGAAUUAGAUGUUGCAUUUGGACCAAGGGGAUGUUAUUUAGGCAGAGAUGAUACUCUACUGGAGAUGUUAUUUAGGCAGAGAUGAUACUCUACUGGAAGUAUCGCAAAAGUAUUUGGGGGUGAAAAUGUAUCCUAGGAAACACUCUAAACCACUAUCCAAAUCAGUUAAUGAUAUAAGAUGAAGGAAACUAUAAAUUCUUUAGCGAAAACAUUAUCUUUGCGAUAAUUCGGAGGCAGCUGCAUUCUGUGAACUGCUAUUUAUGUUUCUUUAAAUAGCAGCAUUAUUGCAAGAAGAUGGAAGUUUUAACUCUGGCAUUUUACAGUUUUCUGAAUAUACACAAUGCAAUAUAUAUAU
rnacentral:lncRNA from 1 species